UACGGGGGGGGCAAGCGUUGUUCGGAAUUACUGGGCGUAAAGGGCUCGUAGGCGGCCAACUAAGUCAGACGUGAAAUCCCCAGGCUCAACCUGGGAACUGCGUCUGAUACUGGAUGGCUUGAAUUCGGGAGAGGGAUGCAGAAUUCCAGGUGUAGCGGUGAAAUGCGUAGAUAUCUGGAGGAAUACCGGUGGCGAAGGCGGCAGCCUGGACCGACAUUGACGCUGAGGAGCGAAAGCCAGGGGAGCAAACGGG
rnacentral:rRNA from 1 species